rnacentral:rRNA from 1 species
UACGUAGGUGGCGAGCGUUGUCCGGAUUUACUGGGCGUAAAGAGCGCGCAGGCGGUCGUGCAAGUCGCGUGUGAAAGCCCCCGGCUCAACUGGGGAGGGUCACGCGAUACUGCUCGACUUGAAGGCAGGAGAGGGAAGUGGAAUUCCCGGUGUAGUGGUGAAAUGCGUAGAUAUCGGGAGGAACACCAGUGGCGAAGGUGACUUCCUGGCCUGUUCUUGACGCUGAGGCGCGAAAGCUAGGGUAGCAAACGGG